GAGCGGAGAUGAGGUGCUUGCACCUUAUCUUAGCGGCGGACGGGUGAGUAAUGCUUAGGAAUCUGCCUAUUAGUGGGGGACAACAUUCCGAAAGGAAUGCUAAUACCGCAUACGUCCUACGGGAGAAAGCAGGGGAUCUUCGGACCUUGCGCUAAUAGAUGAGCCUAAGUCGGAUUAGCUAGUUGGUGGGGUAAAGGCCUACCAAGGCGACGAUCUGUAGCGGGUCUGAGAGGAUGAUCCGCCACACUGGGACUGAGACACGGCCCAGACUCCUACGGGAGGCAGCAGUGGGGAAUAUUGGACAAUGGGGGGAACCCUGAUCCAGCCAUGCCACGUGUGUGAAGAAGGCCUUAUGGUUGUAAAGCACUUUAAGCGAGGAGGAGGCUACUGAGACUAAUACUCUUGGAUAGUGGACGUUACUCGCAGAAUAAGCACCGGCUAACUCUGUGCCAGCAGCCGCGGUAAUACAGAGGGUGCGAGCGUUAAUCGGAUUUACUGGGCGUAAAGCGUGCGUAGGCGGCUUUUUAAGUCGGAUGUGAAAUCCCCGAGCUUAACUUGGGAAUUGCAUUCGAUACUGGGAAGCUAGAGUAUGGGAGAGGAUGGUAGAAUUCCAGGUGUAGCGGUGAAAUGCGUAGAGAUCUGGAGGAAUACCGAUGGCGAAGGCAGCCAUCUGGCCUAAUACUGACGCUGAGGUA
rnacentral:rRNA from 1 species